ensembl:lncRNA
CUUCCGCAGAGCCACCGCUGCCCUCCGCCGACGCCAUCCAAACGACGGCAAUCGGUCGGUCGGUCGGUCGGUCGUCCGUGUCGUUCCACUGCAGCACGUGGAUGCUUCCAGCUCUCAGCCAUCCCGUCUUUCUACCCUUGGCAGUGCCCGUGCGCUACCCGCGCGGUGAUUUCCAUCCCAUUCCCACCAGCCCGGCGCCACUUCAUGGCCGCGAUGGCAGCGCUUUAUUUCUGCGGGCGGGCAUGGCUGAAACUGGAGAGAAAAGUGGUAGCAGAGCCAAAGGACCUCACCUUUUAUCUCUCUGGGGACGGCACUGACUGAGCUCCUGUUCAGAGUUUAAGGUCAACUUUAUAGAGAAUGAACCUGGCAAGCUUUGAUCUGAAAACUGGAGGCUCAUGGAAGCUGGAAGCAACUCAGAAUAAGAGAACUGCUUGGUAACACCUUGGAGGAACGGGGCCAUUGCAUAGCUUCGCUGGAAGCCCACCCUGGCGAGGGACUGGAUGAUGCUGGGUUGAAUUGCCAAGGCUUUGGAAGUUGUGAAGUAUGCAACAUUUUUUGCACCAUUUUACCAUUCACAGAUGGAGCUGAGGAGCUGUACCUAUGGCAGAACUACUGAGAAGCUCGCUUUGUUUUGGUAAUCACCCACAAAAAAACUUCAAUCUAAAUUGCAAUGAAACUGAAAAUGUACUUUGAGCAAAUCCGCAUCUAGGAAGUUUCUCUAGCCUACGAGCUGAUGUAACAGCUACAUUCUUCAAAACUUUUGUCAAGCAAAUACAGUCUGGAAGACUACAAGAUAGAAGAGUGGGAGGAAAACUUGGAAUUCAUCUUCCAAAAUGCAGCUCUGGAAUCUGAAAAGAGUCAGUUGCCCUUGCAAAGAGCUACAGAAAAGGAUGGUGCAGGCAAUUUUUAACUGUGCUGAAAUUUGAAAGUUUACUUUUUCUUUUUUCUUUUUUUUUAGUAUGCUCAGAUCUAUGAAGUGGUGCUCAUUCUUUUCCAUACAGAUGAGAGAUCUUCCUAUGGGUGCUCCACCUCAGCAACACGGUAACUUGAGCGUGGCUUUAGGAAGCUGGUACUGUGGAGGCCACAAGGUCAUUUUCCUGGGAGAAUACAUGGCUGUGAUCUUACAGUCAGGUUAAUGAAGAUCUUACGAUUAGAUCUCAGCAUUGCAGUCUAUUAUAAUUUACAUCCAUCUGUAUGAACUGCAGUUCUAACGCAGUCCUCACCAGUGGUCCUUACUCAGUGCUAGGAAAGAAAAAGUCUACCAGAGCUUUUACUUGGAUUAAAAACUGUCAGUGUGAAAAUAAGCAGCAGAGUAUAGUUCAUCAGUUACUACCAAGGGAAAAAUGCCAUGCAACGGGAAUACAGUGAAAAAUCAGUUUAACCAAACAUAUCUUAAUUCAGUAUAAAAUUAGUCAACAAUGGCACCUCUACAGUAGGUGGGCCCUCUCCCAUAACGUCUCUUGGUGUGAUUUUUCUUUUGUUUCUCAAAAGAGUGUCAACAUCAGCACUGUACGUAACACUGACAUAGGGUGAUAGGUUGAAUCAGAAAUUAGCAGCAACAAACUUUCAAAUCACACUUCAGUAAAUCACACGUCACCAAUACAAAGCCUGUGAGCAUGGAUGAUCUAAAUGCAUGCAUUCACUUGCACACAUGUCCUUGUUCGGGUUACAUGUUGUAAGGUCUCAUAUCUGGCAAAAUAUGGCUCUGAAUUUAUCUUUUACUUUGCUAUUUUUUUAUUCUUUUUCUUUAGAAAGGAAGAGUUUGAACAAGGUGAUAGAAACUCUCAGAGUCAGUGCGUGCCAGUGCAUACUGCCUUUUUGUUGCACGUAACCAAUACUGUCAAUGGCAUUUGAAUGGAGAAAGUACUUUCAGGCAGCCAUUUUUCAACAUUUUUUCAACACAGCACUAUUAGCCAUGCAUUAUCACCAGUGAUGAAUAACAGCCUGCAUGCCAUGUUUGUAACUACCUGCGCCAGCAGAGGUGACCCACUGUCCCUGUCACCACUGUUGAAAUGCACCACCCAUUCCUCACUGUGCUCACAUCCACCAUUUGGUCUCCAUAAACAUUCACCAACUAUCAAUGAGCGCCAAUGAGUGCAACUUUAUUCCUGCAUGGAGGAAUUCAAUGACACGUCUUUCCUUCAUCUGCACUUCCAUGUCGGAUGCCAUUCUGUCAGGCUGCCCCUCUGCUGCCAUCUGUCAUGCAGCAACAACACAUAACAGGAUACUGGCAGAAGGUUCAACCUCUGUUGUCAUACAGUAAAGUUCAUCAGAGUGCUCAUCAGAGAUUUCUGAUGAAAUUUUACUCUUCUUGAGCUUCAGUCUUGACUACAGUUGUUCACAAGUGGACGCACUGCCAAAAAGUGGUGACACAAACAAGGUGUGGCUGUGAAGAGAGAGAUGUUUCUCUCUUACAGAAGUCUGGUAAAAAGACAUGAUCACAUUUUGCAUUGCAACUCUAUACAUUCCACUUGAAAAUUCACAGGUCAUGUAUUUAUGCCAACUGAAAAUGGAGUUGGAAAUAAACCAAAACAUUCAUGAUAUUUUUUUUUCGCAAUCUUGAAACCGGAUCUCAGAUUCCUUUAUCACAAUAGAAAGCAUGGCUGCAUAUCUUUUGCUGUUCACAGUAUUGUGUUUAGCCAGAGUAUCAAAAUGCAUAAGCAUAUUUGCCAUCACUUGAGUUAGCUCUGCACAGCUGUUCUGUGCUCACCUUGCAUUCAUCUCUUGCCUCAUGUUUGAAUGCUGACUUCUUCCAAAGACCAGUAACAGACAGUGAGAAAAUGUGAAAGCUUUAACAGAUAUUAGGUCAUAUUUAAGACCUGUUAACUUGAUACUGAAAUUAGUAAGUUUAAUUCUCUUUAAGAACAUUGGGCAUCUGCUUCGGGUUUCCAGACUUGUGCUAAUACCAACUGGAAUAAGACCAAGUUUGAAGGACAUACCAAGAGAAGCAAGUUUUGUCUGGAUACGAUAAAUACAGUCAUGAAAAGAGAAGGUGGCUAAUGCUACAGUACAUCUCCCAGUGUCUAUCUCUUCUGAUUCCCUAGAAGGCUGUUCCAGCCCCCAGGCUGGGCAUCAGCAGUAGCGACAGCCAUGAGCAACCACCCUUCAACCUACACAGUCAUCUACAUCAACAGACAGGGCUGGGGAGUUCACCAUAUCACACAAUGCAGAAGAUCUACAUUCCAAAUUAAUCCAAGACUUAUGUUUGGAGAUGGAUGCUAAAACAUGUGGUGACAUCAAAGACGUUUACAAUUCACAGCAACACAUCUAAGCUCCAUGUGUUAUUUGGCUUUUAACAGUUUUGAUUAAAAGAAAACAGUGCUUCAACUUCACAUGAUUUGUAAGAAGUCUUAAUAAGAAAUAUAAAAAAUGCUGGACUUGCUUUAGAUGGUUCUCCAACACUGGUAUACUCCCCACAUUCCUCUAAACCCAAUGAAUUACUGGCUCUGAAUAAGCACUCCAGUUGGAACCCACAGGCUACAGCUCCAAAGAACUCUAAUGAAAAUAGCCUAUCUCUUUCACAUGUUUUUGGAAUAAUGAAGUGUGACUACUUUGGAAGGAGAAUGUAAACGAACACUGCCUCAGAUUAAGAGCACAGUUCACAAUUCUGAGUUCACGUGAGGUUCGGUAGGCACAAGCAGCAUCACACCAGUCUUGAAAAAGGUAUCCCAUGGUCCCACAUCAUUUGAAUCAGCAGAAGAGCUUGUCAGUCACUGUGCUGUGAAGUGCAACGCAGCAUGCACCAGGACACUGCGUGGCUGCAAAGCAACGAAGUGCUGCUUGGCAUAGACAGAAAACCACUGCAGCAGGGCCUAUUUGCACAGCUUAUGAGACAACAAAGAAAAAUCCCCACUGAGUCCAAGCUCUGUAAUUUGAAAUUUGUUUGGCAGAGAAUGGUUUUGGUGACGAGAUUUCUUCAGAAUGUCCUAUACCUCUUACAACCAAAACUAAAAAUAGGUGGCUACAAAAUCUGAAUAAAAUUUGGAUACAGGCUAUGAAGCUCGAAAACCAAAAUCUUUAUUGAGGAAAAAAAAAAAACAACCCACAACUUGCAGUAAAUCCCCCAAGAGCACAAUAUUUUACAGAGCUGUGUUUGUGCAAGGGGACUGAAAUGGCAAACAGACUGGUAACAGCAAGAAAGGAAUGCAGGGAAGAAACAAGUUCUUUUGUCUAAAUGGAAAGACUUAGAAUUAUAAAAUCAGAGAAUGGUUUGGGUUGGAAGAGACCUUGAAGAUCGUCUUGUUCCCAUCCCCUGCUAUAGGCAGGGACACCUCCCACCACACCAGGUUGCUCACAGCCCACCCAGCCUGGCCUUGAAUGCCUCCAGGGAGAGGCAAGCAGUCCUUCGUUUCAUUGCUAAACCAGCAGCAGCUCACAGGUGUGUUCAUUCUCCUUUGCCUCACAAGAUGUGUAAACAAGGGGCAAUAGAGGGGUGCCAGCACAGCCAAGCGUUUUGUUUUAUUUCCAGAGACAGCGAUGAAGAGGUUUGCCCAAAAUAAAUCUAGAUUAUCUUUUCUUUUAUAGUCACUGUGUUUUGGAACCAGCGAUGACAGCUUUUAUUACUGAGAGCCAUUUGUUCUUCCUGUGGAAACAGGCAGUGGUUUGUCUACAGCAGACUCUGAAUACGACAGUUUCACAUAUGCUCAGACAAAAGCCUGAAGCUCCUUUCCACGUUGGGGAAGACCCCUCCUACUGAUUUUAGCUCUGAUUUUAGCAGCCCCCUGAGCUGGGAGCUGACAGCUCAAAGCUGCUGUGUGGGGAUUUGGUGUCCCUGGGGGGAGAGGUGCUGAGUGCCCCCCGCCCCACAGCAUCAAGCUCACCUUCCACUGGCAGCCAUGAGGUUGACGCCCGCUGCUGGUGGCCUGGAGAUUCGAUGGAUCACAUUCAGCACACACUCAUCUGGUAGGUCCAGCUGCCAAAUGAUCCCCAGGCCUUUAGUCACUUCCACAGUGAGCACCUCCGUCACAGCACGGACAGCACAAUGCAAGCAGCCACGCUGUGGGACACUCUCAGCUUGAU